ensembl:lncRNA
GUUUUCGUUCCUUUUACUCCACCUUUGACUUUGUAACAGGGAGAAUUUCCAUUCCUUAGUGGAAGUUUGUAGAACGUGACUGUGAUACUGCUUUACAGAGUCCUUGAAAUAGGUAAAUAUUUUACAAACAAAAACUACCCGCUUGAGAUCGUCCCUGAUCUCGGCUAGUUCACUUCCCACUUCUCUGCCUCCUGGCCCACUGAGGCCCCAACCCCACCCCACUUUCACCCUAUCUCUCUAGCCCACAUCCUUUCUGGUCUCUGGUCAGAGGAGCAAGCUGGCCGUCACAUCACAUGCUUCAUAAUGGUUCUAGGUUGUCAUACAUCACUGCCCACAGCUUUGCCAGCACUGGUUCAGCUGAGAAGAGGUCUAACUCCAGAGUUAGCUGUACCACAAAAUCCUCGGGAGGGUCACCUCUGUCCGUGUCCUAAAGAGGAAGUCUUUCCCUGUCUUGGCUCACUUAAAUUCCUUCAGGACACCGUUCCCUGGUUCUUUCCGACUCAAAAAGAGGUAUUGUUUAAGAAAGUGGGAGGUACACCCUCCGAAGAGAAGAAACAGGAGCAAGGGACACGCAGCCUCUGGAGGGCUUCUCAAGUGCGGUACACGUGAACCCCUUGCCAUUAAAGGGGCUCUUUUCUUGACCGGUUUUUCUUCUGGACAGCAGCUUCUGCAGCAUUCAGAAAGUUACAAAACAAGUCCUUGGACUCGGCCGAGCGUUCAACGUGUAUUAAGUGCCUACUAUGCGCCUAAAUUUUAGAAUUCUAAAUUUUAGAAUUUAAUCUAAAAUAAGUUAGAAUAAGUGACUAAGGCUUUAGGCCCUUAGCCAAAUGUAAUCAGAUUGCACAACUUGGCUAAAUGUUAUCUUACUUAUGGAUUGGACUGUAUUUACUCUGAGUCCAGGCUCGAUGCAUAACUGCUCGAUCUUUCUCCUCCCUGUCUCCUCCCCACCGCCCCCACCCCCGCUCCACCCCACCCGGGCCCCCUGACUGGGUGGGGGAAACAGAGGAAGAGGGAGAGGAUGCCAAGCUGAAGCCAAGUCCCUUGUGAGGCACAUCUCUUUGCUUAUGGUCUCACAAGUCCUCACUCAAUUCCCAAACCCAUCUAGAAGAGCUUGCUUCGUUUCCCACUUCCUAAACAACAAAUUUAUCUGUGUCUACAUUUCCCUCCUUCUCUCCAGUUUUUUUUUUAAAUUUUUUUAAUGUUUAUUUAUUUUUGAGACAGAGAGAGACAGAGCAUGAACGGGGGAGGGGCAGAAUCGGAAGCAGGCUCCAGGCUCUGAGCCAUCAGCCCAGAGCCCGUCGCGGGGCUCAAACUCACGGAUCGUGAGAUCGUGACCUGAGCUGAAGUCGGACGCUUAACCGACUGAGCCACCCAGGCGCCCCUUCUCUCCAGUUUUAAAGCUUGUCUCUCCACCAAUCUUGAUCAGAGCCCCUUUCAGCUUCUCUAGGGUGGAAUCACAUCUUAAGGUGGAGUUUAGAUUCUUGCGUCAGCACACAGGCAAGCGUCACACAGAGUCAAAAUUAUCCUAGUAGGCUUCUCAAAUCACGCAUCACAGGAUGUCAGAUAGGGCUGUGGGAAUGCGGUUCUGUAGGGUAAUAUAGAAGUAGGAGUGUAUCAAGCAAAAGUAAUAUAUAGGUGUAAGGCAUGUGUACUGCACAAGGUAUAUGGUAAUAAAGCAUGAAAGUCCAAAGGGGGGGUUGUACUG